rnacentral:rRNA from 1 species
GACGAACGCUGGCGGCGUGCUUAACACAUGCAAGUCGAGCGGUAAGGCCCCUUCGGGGGUACACGAGCGGCGAACGGGUGAGUAACACGUGAGCAACCUACCCUCAACUUUGGGAUAAGCCUCGGAAACGGGGUCUAAUACCGAAUAUCACUCCUUGUUUCAUGGCGGGGGGUUGAAAGUUCUGGCGGUGGGGGGUGGGCACGCGGCGUAUUGGCGUGUUGGUGGGGUAAUGGCCUACCAAGGCGUCGACGGGGAGCCGGCCUGAGAGGGCGGGCGUCGACACGGGGACUGGGACACGGCCCAGACUCCUAAGGGAGGCAGCAGUGGGGAAUAUUGCGCAAUGGACGAAAGUCUGACGCAGCAACGCCGCGGGAGGGAUGACGGCCUUCGGGUUGUAAACCUCUUUCAGCAGGGACAAAGCGAGAGUGACGGUACCUGCAGAAGAAGGACCGGCCAACUACGUGCCAGCCGCCGCAGUAACAC